rnacentral:rRNA from 1 species
UGCCCUACGGGAGGCAGCAGUGGGGGAUAUUGCACAAUGGGGGGAACCCUGAUGCAGCGACGCCGCGUGGGUGAAGAAGCGCCUCGGCGCGUAAAGCCCUGUCAGCAGGGAAGAAAAUGACGGUACCUGAAGAAGAAGCCCCGGCUAACUACGUGCCAGCAGCCGCGGUAAUACGUAGGUGGCAAGCGUUAUCCGGAUUUACUGGGUGUAAAGGGCGUGUAGGCGGGGACGCAAGUCAGAUGUGAAAACCCUGGGCUCAACCUGUGGCCUGCAUUUGAAACUGUUAUUCUAGAGUAUGGGAGAGG